CUAACAUUAUCAUCCUUUUUUUGUUUUUUAUGAAUUAACAAAAUUACAGAUCUCGUCCUCCCAUUCUCUCCCUUGCUCCAGAAAAGAGAUUGUGAGAGAGGAUUGCUGUAUUCCGAGAAUCUCACAAGGGAAUGGACAAACAUACCAGAUUCCUCUCUCUCUCGUUGCGGCGCUGGCUACCUUUUAUCCAGUUGACAUAUGGAACUCUCUCCGUUUAGAACACCCGAUGCUAUCAUAACCAUAUUCUUUGUUACUGUGCUCGUUCAUGUUGCAUGGAGUGCAUGUGAAGUUAAGCUUGAAGCUGCUCACUUCAAAUCAAUUGCUGCCCACACCACUUGUCUAUAAUUCUUGCCCUUGUUAUUCUAAUCAUAGUCCUUGACCUAGCAAUUGGGUGGUCAUUUUUUUCUUAUUAGUCUUGUUUGUUGUUUAUAUGGGCUUAUGUGAGGAAUUGUUAUAAUUGCAUGAAUUGUUGUAUAAUGCAGUGAAUUGUUGUAUAAUGCAGUUCUGCAAGCAUAUGGGGGCUUAUCCAAUGUAGUUUUGCAAGCAUAUGGUUUUUGCAAUGUAGUUAUCCAUACAUAUGCAGAUCAUGGCAUGAAAAAAGAGUCAAAUGUUGAGUCAAUCAGGUCACUUGUGUAAUCUGACUGAGCCAUUGAAGAGAAUCAUUUGUUGGUGUCUCAUUGGAUUUGUUACCAGACAGUGUUUAUCUAGUAAAUGAUUCUCUUCAAUGGCUCGGGAAGGUUACACAAGCGACCUAGUUGACUCAGCUUCUGCCAUGCUAUGAUCUGUAUAUACUUGAAUAACUACAUUAUAAAGACCAUAUAUUUGGAGAACUACAUUGCAAAGAUCCCUAUAUGCUAGAACCGCAUCGUAAAGACCCAUAAGCUUGGAGAAUUGCCUUCUAUAAUGAUUCAUACAAUUAUGCUCA